ACGGGUGAGUAACACGUGAGCAAUCUGCCCUUCUCUUCGGAAUAACCAUUGGAAACGAUGGCUAAUGCCGAAUAUGACCUCCUUUCGCAUGUUUGGAGGUGGAAAGCUCCGGCGGAGAAGGAUGAGCUCGCGGCCUAUCAGCUUGUUGGUGAGGUAAUGGCUCACCAAGGCAUUGACGGGUAGCCGGCCUGAGAGGGUGACCGGCCACACUGGGACUGAGACACGGCCCAGACUCCUACGGGAGGCAGCAGUGGGGAAUAUUGGACAAUGGGCGAAAGCCUGAUCCAGCAACGCCGCGUGAGGGAUGACGGCCUUCGGGUUGUAAACCUCUUUCAGCAGGGACGAAGCGAAAGUGACGGUACCUGCAGAAGAAGGACCGGCCAACUACGUGCCAGCAGCCGCGGUAAUACGUAGGGUCCGAGCGUUGUCCGGAAUUAUUGGGCGUAAAGGGCUCGUAGGCGGUUUGUCGCGUCGGGAGUGAAAACUCAGGGCUCAACCCUGAGCGUGCUUCCGAUACGGGCAGACUAGAGGUAUGCAGGGGAGAACGGAAUUCCUGGUGUAGCGGUGGAAUGCGCAGA
rnacentral:rRNA from 1 species